rnacentral:lncRNA from 1 species
AUGUAAAGUAUAUUUUUGAAGUUAUUGUUUAAUCUUUUGAUCGUUUUAAAUGAUAAAAAUAAUCAUUAUUGGGAAACAAACUAACACGUGCUUAUAUGCUGCUUAUUUCAUUUUAGUUGUAUUUAACCGUAUAGUACAAUCAGUUCAUUUUCCACUAAUGAAAAUUGAAUAUCAUGACAGAUAUUGAUACACAAAUGUUUGUUAGACCUUCACUGUUAAAGUCGAAGGGGCUUAUAGGUUUUCCCUCCAUCUAUCCUUCCAUCAUUCUCUUCUUUCACUUAUUUGAUAAAUAUUUGGUAUAAAGACAUACCAUAUGAAGAAAAGUUUUUUUGAUAGGGCGAUUUUUUUGAAACUUUGGCAUUUGGACAAAAAAUAUCAGUAAUUAACCACGUAUUGUUUGACUCAAGCUCUGUAUUUCUUUCUACACAUUACCAAUACGUUACAAAAAAAAACAUGCCGUAGGUAAAAAUACUUGCAUCAGUUCCUUCAACUGAUGGUAUUCCAAAUACUUUAUCUGUAGAUAAAAAAAAAUGUAAUUGAACCAUUCAUAUAUUAAGGCUAAUAUAAUUCUUCAAUUUCACACAGGUCCAAUAAGAAUUUUUUUAUUUUUAUAUCAAAAUUAUAAUUUACAUAGAAUUGAUUACAGUUUAGUAUAGAAAAAAAAGAUAAACCUAAAUAUAAUAAAUUAAUACUUAGAACUAAUUUAAGAUGCAUAGUAUACCAUGUGCAUAAGGGCAUUAAAGAGGAAAGACUUUUGUAUAUUUCUCAGGAAUAAUAUGUCUUUUGAGUGAUUUUAACCGAUAUCUGUUUUUUUUUUAAAUUGUCAAUUAUUCCACAAUAAAUCCUUUUUUUUUUUUGUAUCAUGUUUAUUAUUUGUUUACUAUGUAUUUUGUAUAAUGGUGAUUUCGAC